CCCUUAGAUGUUCUGGGCCGCACGCGCGUUACACUGAUGCAUUCAACGAGUUCUUCCUUGGCCGAGAGGCCUGGGCAAUCUUUUGAACGUGCAUCGUGAUAGGGAUAGAUUAUUGCAAUUAUUAAUCUUGAACGAGGAAUUCCUAGUAAACGCAAGUCAUCAGCUUGCAUUGAUUACGUCCCUGCCCUUUGUACACACCGCCCGUCGCACCUACCGAUUGAAUGGUCCGGUGAAAUCUCGGGACGGCGGCUUGGUCGCUUGCGUCCGACUGCUGAAACUUGAUUAAACCAUAUCAUUUAGAGGAAGGUGAANUCGUAACA
rnacentral:rRNA from 1 species